rnacentral:rRNA from 1 species
CAGCCGCCGCGGUAAUACGCAGGUGGCGAGCGUUGUCCGGAUUUAUUGGGCGUAAAGGGAGUGUAGGCGGUCUUUUAAGUCUGAUGUGAGAGCCCACGGCUCAACCGUGGAGGGUCAUUGGAAACUGGGAGACUUGAGUGCAGAAGAGGAGAGCGGAAUUCCAUGUGUAGCGGUGAAAUGCGUAGAUAUAUGGAGGAACACCAGUGGCGAAGGCGGCUCUCUGGUCUGUAACUGACGCUGAGGCUCGAAAGCGUGGGGAGCAAACAGGAUUAGAUACCCCAGUAGUCCCUGUCUCUUAUAC